GUUUAAUGAUAUUAUUGCUGAGUUGUUUUAACCGACUAAAACUGAAAACCGCCACGGCUUAAAAUUUAUCGAGGUUAUUAAAUAAUUGCACGUUCUUAUUGUUUGAAAUUAAUUCGAAAUUAGUUUCGAACCUACGCCAGUAUUAAAAUGACGCUACACGAACGCUAUACGUGGUUAAAUAAAGGGAAGGGAGGGAGGCAACGGUAGCGUGAACUUACGUCAUAAGAGAGUGUGUCAAAAUCAUUUGACCCUCCCAUCCGCUCAAGUACUGUUAUAAGAACCAACGCCUACCUCUUCUAUAAAAAGAAAAUAAAGUACAAC